AAAGUCGUAACAAGGUUUCCGUAGGUGAACCUGCGGAAGGAUCAUUAAUGAAUAACUAUGGCGUUGGUUGUAGCUGGCUUCUAGGAGCAUGUGCACGCCCGUCAUUCUUAUCUUUCCACCUGUGCACUUAUUGUAGGCUUGGAUAACUCUCGCCCUUGGGCGGAUGCAAGGAUUGUCGUGUCGAAAGAUACGUCUCUCUUUGAAUUUCCAGGUCUAUGUAUCCUUUACACACCCCAAUUGUAAAAUGAAGAAUGUAGUCAAUGGGCUUUCAUGCCUAUAAAACAAAUACAACUUUCAGCAACGGAUCUCUUGGCUCUC
rnacentral:misc_RNA from 1 species